rnacentral:rRNA from 1 species
UACGGAGGGUGCGAGCGUUGUCCGGAAUCACUGGGCGUAAAGGGCGCGUAGGCGGUCUGUCGCGUCGGAUGUGAAAACUCGGGGCUCAACCCCGAGCCUGCAUUCGAUACGGGCAGGCUAGAGUUCGGUAGGGGAGACUGGAAUUCCUGGUGUAGCGGUGAAAUGCGCAGAUAUCAGGAGGAACACCGAUGGCGAAGGCAGGUCUCUGGGCCGACACUGACGCUGAUGCGCGAAAGCCAGGGGAGCGAACGGG